rnacentral:misc_RNA from 1 species
UCCGGUUUAGUACCGGCAGUCGCGCUAGACAUGGUAACUAACGCCGAGGGUUGCGCUCGUUGCGGGACUUAACCCAACACCUCACGACACGAGCUGACGACAGCCAUGCAGCACCUGUGUUCCGGUUCCCUUUCAGGCACACCCGCCUCUCAGCAGGCUUCCAGACAUGUCAAGGGUAGGUAAGGUUUUUCGCGUUGCAUCGAAUUAAUCCACAUAAUCCACCGCUUGUGCGGGUCCCCGUCAAUUCCUUUGAGUUUUAACCUUGCGGCCGUACUCCCCAGGCGGUCGACUUCACGCGUUAGCUUCGUUACUGAGAGUGUCAAACCCCCAACAACCAGUCGACAUCGUUUAGGGCUAGGACUAC